rnacentral:rRNA from 1 species
GUGACUGCGUACCUUUUGUAUAAUGGGUCAGCGACUUAUAUUCUGUAGCAAGGUUAACCAAAUAGGGGAGCCGAAGGGAAACCGAGUCUUAACUGGGCGUUAAGUUGCAGGGUAUAGACCCGAAACCCGGUGAUCUAGCCAUGGGCAGGUUGAAGGUUGGGUAACACUAACUGGAGGACCGAACCGACUAAUGUUGAAAAAUUAGCGGAUGACUUGUGGCUGGGGGUGAAAGGCCAAUCAAACCGGGAGAUAGCUGGUUCUCCCCGAAAGCUAUUUAGGUAGCGCCUCGUGAAUUCAUCUCCGGGGGUAGAGCACUGUUUCGGCAAGGGGGUCAUCCCGACUUACCAACCCGAUGCAAACUGCGAAUACCGGAGAAUGUUAUCACGGGAGACACACGGCGGGUGCUAACGUCCGUCGUGAAGAGGGAAACAACCCAGACCGCCAGCUAAGGUCCCAAAGUCAUGGUUAAGUGGGAAACGAUGUGGGAAGGCCCAGACAGCCAGGAUGUUGGCUUAGAAGCAGCCAUCAUUUAAAGAAAGCGUAAUAGCUCACUGGUCGAGUCGGCCUGCGCGGAAGAUGUAACGGGGCUAAACCAUGCACCGAAGCUGCGGCAGCGACGCUUAUGCGUUGUUGGGUAGGGGAGCGUUCUGUAAGCCUGCGAAGGUGUACUGUGAGGUAUGCUGGAGGUAUCAGAAGUGCGAAUGCUGACAUAAGUAACGAUAAAGCGGGUGAAAAGCCCGCUCGCCGGAAGACCAAGGGUUCCUGUCCAACGUUAAUCGGGGCAGGGUGAGUCGACCCCUAAGGCGAGGCCGAAAGGCGUAGUCGAUGGGAAACAGGUUAAUAUUCCUGUACUUGGUGUUACUGCGAAGGGGGGACGGAGAAGGCUAUGUUGGCCGGGCGACGGUUGUCCCGGUUUAAGCGUGUAGGCUGGUUUUCCAGGCAAAUCCGGAAAAUCAAGGCUGAGGCGUGAUGACGAGGCACUACGGUGCUGAAGCAACAAAUGCCCUGCUUCCAGGAAAAGCCUCUAAGCAUCAGGUAACAUCAAAUCGUACCCCAAACCGACACAGGUGGUCAGGUAGAGAAUACCAAGGCGCUUGAGAGAACUCGGGUGAAGGAACUAGGCAAAAUGGUGCCGUAACUUCGGGAGAAGGCACGCUGAUAUGUAGGUGAAGCGACUUGCUCGUGGAGCUGAAAUCAGUCGAAGAUACCAGCUGGCUGCAACUGUUUAUUAAAAACACAGCACUGUGCAAACACGAAAGUGGACGUAUACGGUGUGACGCCUGCCCGGUGCCGGAAG